GUGGGGAAUAUUGGACAAUGGGCGAAAGCCUGAUCCAGCCAUGCCGCGUGUGUGAAGAAGGUCUUCGGAUUGUAAAGCACUUUAAGUUGGGAGGAAGGGCAGUAAGUUAAUACCUUGCUGUUUUGACGUUACCGACAGAAUAAGCACCGGCUAACUUCGUGCCAGCAGCCGCGGUAAUACGAGGGGUGCAAGCGUUAAUCGGAAUUACUGGGCGUAAAGCGCGCGUAGGUGGUUUUGUAAGUUGGAGGUGAAAUCCCCGGGCUCAACCUGGGAACUGCCUCCAAAACUGCAUGACUAGAGUACGGUAGAGGGUAGUGGAAUUUCCUGUGUAGCGGUGAAAUGCGUAGAUAUAGGAAGGAACACCAGUGGCGAAGGCGACUACCUGGACUGAUACUGACACUGAGGUGCGAAAGCGUGGGGAGCAAACAGGAUUAGAUACCCCGGUAGUCC
rnacentral:rRNA from 1 species